UUCUCAGCCUGAUUGCCUUUUGCUUACUAAGAACAGCAACUGAUUUCUAUUGGACAACUGUGUAAUUGUGUGGUGGUGUAGGGAACAACCAUUAUACUCCAAUUCCUUCAUCUGGUAAACGGGAACAUGAGUGUAUGGGAAUUGCUAAGUCACAGCCUGAACCAAUGAGUGAGCACUUUGUGAAGAGACACAGCCUGCCCUGGGAACACAGGUGAAAGCAAUUCACCUGUGCCACAGAAAGGGUGGAACCAGGUUCCACCCCUAAGCCUCAUUUAAGGACUGGUUGCCACCUGGGAACACUCUCUGUCUGGCGAUCCUUUCUUCUGGGUUAUUUGGUGGGUCCUGUUCCUCAGGAUAGGUGAGCAAAUCUUUCUUUGACUGGAUUGUGACUAUCACUCUUUUUUGAGUAAUUUAGAACUGGUUGUCUGCCAUUGCCUUUCCAUACAAUUACUUCUAUUUCUCAGAGGCUCAAUUUAGAGUUUAAUAAUCGGCUAACAAAUUCACAAAGCCACUUUAAUUUCAUCUUCAGCUCUUGUGUUACUCUCCUUCCUGAACUCAAUAGCGGCAUCACAAGAUAAAAUGGGAUGUGCCCUACCAGCCCCUAUGAUAUCAGCUGUCGAGGAGAACAAGAACUGACCUGUUUCUGCGUUCAUGGAGACAUAACCAGUGUAAAUAUGGUCCCAUUGUCCUGGCCCUCCAGGAUUGUUAGAAGUGUCUCUUCAAAAAAUGCUGGAUUGGGAUUGGAGUCAAAACAAGGAAUGGACAGUUUGGGAAUAUGUAACACAGGAAAUAAAUUCAAUAGGAUUAUUAUUAUAGUUCCAACAUUUUUAUUACUCUCCUAA
rnacentral:lncRNA from 1 species